GUGGGGGCCACCCUUGUGGUCAUAAGAUUUAUGUCAUGAUGUUAUGUAGAUGUGUAUGUGAUUUGCUUGUUUAUUGCACCUUAUGGUUUCCUGGUUUCCCGUGUCUUGUGUGGUGUGUGCUGUGUCCGUGUGUGUUCUUUGGACAGCAGCGCGUCUACAUGGGUUCCAGGCUUGGUGUCUGUGGCAGGUAGGUGAGGGUGUAGUUUC